GGUUAAAGUGAUCUGGUUAGAGCGCACGCCUGAUAAGCGUGAGGUCGGUGGUUCGAGUCCACUUAGGCCC
rnacentral:tRNA from 1 species